rnacentral:rRNA from 1 species
CCUACGGUGGGCUGCAGUGAGGAAUAUUGGUCAAUGGGCGUAAGCCUGAACCAGCCAAGUCGCGUGAGGGAUGAAGGUUCUAUGGGUCGUAAACCUCUUUUAUAAGGGAAUAAAGUGCUGGACGUGUCCCGUUUUGUAUGUACCUUAUGAAUAAGGAUCGGCUAACUCCGUUCCAGCAGCCGCGGUAAUACGGAGGAUCCGAGCGUUAUCCGGAUUUAUUGGGUUUAACGGGUGCGUAGGUUGAUUUUUAAGGCAGCGGUGAAAGUUUGUGGCUAAACCAUAAAAUUGCAGUUGAAACUGGGAGGCUUGAUUACGUUUGAGGGAGGCGGAAUGCGUGGUGUAGCGGUGAAAUGCUUAGAUAUCACGAAGAACCCCGAUUGCGAAGGCAGCCUGCAAAGCCAUGACUGACGCUGAUGCACGAAAGCGUGGGGAUCAAACAGGAGUAGAUACCCGAGUAGUC